rnacentral:rRNA from 1 species
UACGGAGGGGGCUAGCGUUGUUCGGAAUUACUGGGCGUAAAGCGCACGUAGGCGGUUUGUUAAGUCAGAGGUGAAAGCCCGGAGCUCAACUCCGGAACUGCCAUUGAAACUGUAAGACUUGAGGAUGAGAGAGGUGAGUGGAAUUCCCAGUGUAGAGGUGAAAUUCGUAGAUAUUGGGAAGAACACCGGUGGCGAAGGCGGCUCACUGGCUCAUAUCUGACGCUCAGGCGCGACAGCGUGGGGAUCAAACAGG